UACGGAGGGUGCAAGCAUUAAUCGGAAUUAUUGGGCGUAAAGGGCGCGUAGGCGGAAAGUCAAGUCAGAUGUGAAAUACCAAAGCUCAACUUUGGUGCUGCAUUUGAAACUGGCUAUCUAGAGGGUUGACGGAGAAAACGGAAUUCCACGUGUAGCGGUGAAAUGCGUAGAUAUGUGGAAGAACACCUGUGGCGAAAGCGGUUUUCUAGUUUAUACCUGACGCUGAGGCGCGAGAGCAAGGGGAGCAAACAGG
rnacentral:rRNA from 1 species